rnacentral:lncRNA from 1 species
UUUGUAAUAAUUGUAAACCUUGGUAGCCUUUUUAAGUGCUGGUCCUUGCUAUGUAUUUAUCCAAUUGAUUUUCUUAUCCCCAUUUCUUUGUAUUCGCAGCUUUCAAUCUUGGUUUGGCCAACGCUUGAACCAUAUUUCUUGUUUCAAUGAGUAAUUCGAUCUUUUUCAAUGAGUAAUUCGAUCUUUAUAUCCGCCAAGGACAGUUGUAAUUAUCUUUCUAUAAGGCUCAAUUAGUUUAACAUUCAUGAAUCCUUUGUUCUUUUUUUUUUUUUUUUCUUGUUUAAGUUACAAUCUACGGAUAUUAUUGGUAUACUUAAAAGAAAUAAACAUUGGCUUGUAAAGA